rnacentral:rRNA from 1 species
AUUGAACGCUGGCGGCAGGCCUAACACAUGCAAGUCGAGCGGAGCGGCGGACGGGUGAGUAAUGCCUAGGACUCUGCCUGGGAGUGGGGGAUAACGUCCGGUAACGGGCGCUACUACUGCCUACUAUCAGAUGAGCCUAGGUCGGAUUAGCUAGUUGGUGGGGUAAAGGCCUACCAGGGCGACGAUCCCUAGCUGGUCUGAGAGGAUGACCAGCCACACGGGAACUGAGACACGGUCCAGACUCCUACGGGAGGCAGCAGUGGGGAAUAUUGCAAAAUGGGCGCAAGCCUGAUGCAGCCAUGCCGCGUGUAUGAAGAAGGCCUUCGGGUUGUAAAGUACUUUCAGCGGGGAGGCGUUACCCGCAGAAGAAGCACCGGCUAACUUCGUGCCAGCAGCCGCGGUAAUAC